GGACUACAAGGGUUUCUAAUCCUGUUUGCUCCCCACGCUUUCGUGCAUGAGCGUCAGUAUUGACCCAGGGGGCUGCCUUCGCCAUCGGUAUUCCUCCACAUCUCUACGCAUUUCACUGCUACACGUGGAAUUCUACCCCCCUCUGCCAUACUCGAGCGAUGCAGUCACCAAUGCAGUUCCCAGGUUAAGCCCGGGGAUUUCACAUCGGUCUUAGCGGACCGCCUGCGCACGCUUUACGCCCAGUAAUUCCGAUUAACGCUCGCACCCUACGUAUUACCGCGGCUGCUGGCAC
rnacentral:rRNA from 1 species